GCCUUCAUAGUGUAGUGGUCAGCAUGCUGAGCGCGUAUUCCGGAGGUCCGUGGUUCGAGUCCCAGCGAAGGCA
rfam:Stegodyphus mimosarum contig107190, whole genome shotgun sequence.